CAGUAAUAUAGAAAAAAAUCGAGAUUGAGAUUGAUACAGCAUAUAAUCUUGUUCUUAUGCAACAUAUUGGUUGGUUAUUAGGAAUUUGUAAUCACUGUACAAUAUUGUCAACCAUUUAUUACAAUACAGUGUCGAAGAUUAAAUCAGAAUUGUGUUACUUGGCACAUAUUUUCGUGGUAAUCUGAUAUACAUGUAUAGCUGAUUUUCAGCCAUUGUCCAUAAUGGUAUUGAAGUCAAAGGCACCAACUCAUCAUUAACAGUAUAUGAUAGAUGUCAGAAAGAAGUGUGGAUAGCUUGACUCAUCUACAGUAUCUGCAAUUGAGUAAAGUUUGAUAUUACCAUGCGACAGUUAAAAGGCAAAGUAUCUGAAACAAGACGAGAGAAAAGACAGAGAAAACAGGAAAAUGUAGACAAUAAGAACCGUAUUAUGACAAUUGUGUUACCAGUCAUUGGCAUUGUCAGCAUUAUAGUUUUUUUACUUGUGUAUUAUGGAACCAGACCAAAACUAGAUCUGUAGCACACAUGCAUACAGGACUAUAUGUUUAAUAUAUUUACUCAAGAGAUUGUUUCUGUGGUAGUGUUGGAUACUAUGGUUAAAGACAAUAAUGUUACAUUGUUACUCUUUAUAACAAGCUUCAAACUGAUGGAAUUCCACAGAAAGUUAUGGUUUAUCCAACUUAUUUGAUCAGCUCUCAUUGUGUGUAUAAUGAAUGCACUUGUAUAUAAUGACAUACAUACUAAUUUUUCAAACUGUCAUUAUGCCACAACUAUAUAUGGUCUCUAUUCAGAAUAGUCCUCAUCGUUAAGUCUAAAUAUCUUACCAAAAUAAGCUCACUGACAGAGAAUAUUACAAUAGAAGAAUCACAGUAACAUCUUUACACAUCAUUAAGUAGUGUAAGCUAUAGUAGUUAAAAGCAGCAAGACUUUGGAUAAUUCUUACCUUAGACUCUAGUGAAUACAAUGCAGCAAACCCAAUGUUAAGAAUCACUUUAUAGAAGCAUGGAUGCAGAGAAUUGCCAUUCUGAGUGAUUGUGAAGAUAAACGCAAUUACUAAAUAGCCAUGAAAAGUUAUCGAACCAUUU